CUGAAGGAUGGAGGUGUUGGGCUUUAGUUGGAGACCAGAUUGAUGGUGUUUGAUGAGGGUCUGAAGAAAGCUCUUCUGUUCUAAAUGAGGGUCUGGAGAAACACACUCACUUACACACACGCUCACACACACGCUCACACACACACUUACACACUCGCUUACAUACACUCACUCUCACUCUCACACUCACUCUCACUCUCACACUCACACACUUACACACACGCUCACACUCACACGCUCACACUCACUUACACACACACGCUCACACUCACUUACACACACACACACACACUUACACUCACUUACACACACGCUCACUCACUUACAUACACUUACACACACGCUCACACUCACUCACAUACACGCACACGCACACACACUAACACACACUCACUUACACUCACACACACUUGCACACACGCUCACACUCACUUACAUACACUUAUACACAUGCUCACACUCACUUACACUUACACUCACACUCACUUACACACACGCUCACACACACUCACACUCACUUACACAGACACUUACUUGCAUACACUUACACACACGCUCACACUCACUCACAUACACGCACACACACUCACACACACGCACACUCUCACACACUCACUUACGCUCUCACACUCUCUUACACUCACACACUCACUUACACACUCACUUACGCUCUCACACUCACACACACUCACUUACACUCACACACACUUGCACACACGCUCACACUCACUUACUUACACUUACACUCACACUCACUUACACACACGCUCACACACACUCACACUCACUUACACAGACACUUACUUGCACACACUUACACACACGCUCACACUCACUCACAUACACACGCUCACACUCGCGCACACACACUUACACACACACUCGCACUCACAUACACACACGCUCACACUCACUUACAUACACUCACUUACACGCUCACACACACUCACACGCUCACACACACUCACACGCUCACACACACUCACACUCACUUACACAGACACUUACUUACAUACACUUACACACACGCUCACACUUACACACACACUCACACUCACUUACAUACACGCGCACACACACUUACACACACGCUCACACUCACUCACAUACACGCGCACACACACUUACACACACGCUCACACUCACUCACAUACACGCGCACACACACUUACACACACGCUCACACUCACUUACAUACACGCGCACACACACUUACACACACGCUCACACUCACUCACAUACACGCGCACACACACUUACACACACGCUCACACUCACUCACAUACACACACACACACACACACACUCAGGCUCACACUCACUUACAUACACAUACACACACACUCACUUACACAGACACACUCACACUCACACUCACUUACAUACACACACACACACACGCUCACACACUCGUGUUUACACAAGGCAAACAGCCGUCACACACACAGAUGAAACGAGG
rnacentral:lncRNA from 1 species